rnacentral:rRNA from 1 species
UACAGAGGGGGCAAGCGUUAUUCGGAAUUAUUGGGCGUAAAGAGCGUGUAGGCGGCCAGGUAGGUCUGCUGUGAAAACUCGAGGCUCAACCUCGAGACGUCGGCGGAAACCAUCUGGCUAGAGUCCGGAAGAGGAGAGUGGAAUUCCUGGUGUAGCGGUGAAAUGCGCAGAUAUCAGGAAGAACACCCGUGGCGAAGGCGGCUCGCUGGGACGGUACUGACGCUGAGACGCGAAAGCGUGGGGAGCGAACAGG